GCCAGAUGGACGCCGUCUCCUGGCUCGUGGGCGGCAGUUAGCGGGCUUCAUUUGAGGAAACUGAGUUGCUCCUCCGUCGCUUCCCCGAGAGAAGAGUUGGGCACAUAACUUCUCAGCCUCCCUUGCAGUUAGGUUGGAAUUAUGUGACCAGUUCUGGGUAAUGGACCAUGAAUGGGAGUGACAUGUGCUCCUCCAUCCCUCUCCUCCCAACACAACAGCCUUUAAAGCUGUUUGUUCCAGAUGGAGUUGCUACAAGAGAGUGGAGAGUCACCUGGCCCAAAUCGAACUUCAUAAUGCCUCUCUAGCCUAACUACUGCAAUUGCUGCUACUGCCGGUUCUAGCUGCGGCAAUACACUGCCUUAGCUGCUAUCUGGGGAUGAAGAAGUGACCACCAAAAUUACUGGAUGCCUGACCAUGCUCUGCUGCCAGAUCAUCACUAGCAAAAUGGAUGUGUCCCAUGCCGCUGCCUCUCUCCCACUUAAUUCAGUUCGAAACUCAAGCCACACACCUGUGCAUUUCAUGGGAUGAAUUUCAUAAACAUCUGUAACGGUAGCUGCAAAGGGGUCUCGGAAGUGUAGUUUUUAGCAUUGGUACCCCAGCGGAUGGAACAGAUUAAGGUGAACUAAGUUUUUCUAGGGAAACUAAGUAAUUCUCUCAGGACUGUUCUACUCUCAUAGAAUUGGGAGAUAUCAUGUAGAAGCCAUAGAAUGCUCAGAGAAGUGGCUUGCCAGCAUCUCUCCCUUCCAGUGGUGAUAACUAUGAAUCUCACUGCUUAUUUUAACCAUACAGUGCCUUUCUAAACAUCUCUGUCAAUCAGAUGAAGUCUGAAUAUUCAGUGGCCUAUUAUUCUAUUGUCAGGAGACCACAUGUGAUACAGAAUGUACUAGUAUGAGGCUUCGAAUGUGCCAUUUCAUACCACUUUCCCAUUUUGAGGAGUUCUACUUCCCUUUUUCAAAGAAAAAGUCAAAACUUUCCAAUUAACCUUGGUAGAGAGCACCCUAUGUCACAGUGUCCAGAAGAAUACUUACUUAUUGAGCACCCACUGUGUACCAGACUCUGUUCAGGGUGCUAGGGAUACAAUAGUGAUGAGAAUAACAACCUGGUUUAUAAGGUUCUUACCUUCUGGAGACUUUAUGUCAUAAAAGAUUUUCUGCUUUUGAUAAAGUAAAUGAAUAUGGCUAUGAAAGACAUCUGAAAAAUCAUAAUCUCUUAUUCCAUAAUCCAAGGUGACUUUACUAAAAAGAGAUCCUUGAAAGGAGGUGCAAAGCAGACAUGAGUGCUGGCCUUGGGAAGUAGGAAAGGUGCUCUUUUUAAAAGUUUUGCUAAGUCUCUACUGCAGACAUUGUUGGUCCCCACUCAUCCCUUUGACCUACCCAAAAGAUCACUUGCAGAUAGUGCCUGUAAAUACCAAAGGCUUCCUAUGUCUCUCCUGGGGCUUUCUCUGGCUGUGCUAACUGUCAGGGAGUCAAUGCCCUAGGGUGUUACUCUUUUUAAAGGAUAAUUUUCCCAAAAAAAAGGUAAAAUCAUGACUUUCAUACAAAAAUAAAAUGAACAAGUGUCAAAAAUUUUAUUUAAAUCACUGUGUGAUGAGGUAACUAAUAAGAUGUUCCAACCGGUUCAAAGGAGAAUUCAAAGCACCACUCGUAUAUGUGAAGACAAACAAUGCUGAGAUGAAUUUACAGAUAGAAGCAAAACUGGUCAAUAUCCACAGGUAAUAGUCAAUUGUAUUCACUGCAUGUCUAUGGAUAAGAAUUAUCUGCAUUACUAUCUAUUUUCUACAACUUAGACUUAUAAAAUAACAAUGGACAAUGAAAGACAAAGCUCGCCUGGAUAAAUGGGCUAGGUGAAACAUCCACUAAUAGUUCAAACUCAUUCACAAUUUUUUCAGACAUUUUCAACCAAUGAGGAAUAGGAUU